rnacentral:misc_RNA from 1 species
GAGAAGAACGUAGUGAAAUGCGAUACGUAAUGUGAAUUGCAGAAUUCAGUGAAUCAUCGAGUCUUUGAACGCACAUUGCGCCCCCUGGUAUUCCGGGGGGCAUGCCUGUCCGAGCGUCAUUGCUGCCCUCAAGCACGGCUUGUGUGUUGGGCCUCCGUCCUCCUCCCGGGGGACGGGCCCGAAAGGCAGCGGCGGCACCGCGUCCGGUCCUCGAGCGUAUGGGGCUUCGUCACCCGCUCUUGUAGGCCCGGCCGGCGCUUGCCGACACAUCAAUCUUUUUUCCAGGUUGACCUCGGAUCAGGUAGGGAUACCCGCUGAACUUAAGCAUAUCAAUAAGCGGAGGA